GAUGAACGCUGGCGGCGUGCCUAAUACAUGCAAGUCGAGCGAACGGACGAGAAGCUUGCUUUUCUGAUGUUAGCGGCGGACGGGUGAGUAACACGUGGAUAACCUACCUAUAAGACUGGGAUAACUUCGGGAAACCGGAGCUAAUACCGGAUAAUAUUUUGAACCGCAUGGUUCAAAAGUGAAAGACGGUCUUGCUGUCACUUAUAGAUGGAUCCGCGCUGCAUUAGCUAGUUGGUAAGGUAACGGCUUACCAAGGCAACGAUGCAUAGCCGACCUGAGAGGGUGGUCGCCCACCCUGGAACUGCGACACGGUCCAGACUCCUACGGGAGGCAGCAGUAUGGAAUCUUCCGCAAUGGGCGAAAGCCUGACGGAGCAACGCCGCGUGAGUGAUGAAGGUCUUCGGAUCGUAAAACUCUGUUAUUAGGGAAGAACAUAUGUGUAAGUAACUGUGCCCAUCUUGACGGUACCUAAUCAGAAAGCCCCGGCUAACUACGUG
rnacentral:rRNA from 1 species